CAGAAAUCCAUAUGUAUAUACAGGGAUUAAAGGAGAGAUAAUAAGUGAAGUAAAACACUUAUAAAACUGAUUGACACAAAUUAAGUGUCAACCCAGACAGACUAAGACAAAAACAGAAUGUCUAGCUAGAAGUAUUGGCCAAUAGGUAGACUUGGGCAAGUCACUGGAAACUUCUUACAAUUAAAGGAACGAUUCAGUGUUGCAGUAUAAUUGUAGCAACUUGUAUAUAUAAUGCCAGAAACCCAGAUUGUAUUCGUCCAAUACUGAUUGAACAGAAUGUAUGAGUAGAGGACUAUCAACAAAAAUAGAUAGAGCUAGACAAACGAAGAGGUGUCAUAUCUGCCUGUAAAUAAUUUUUCUAUUUUUUUUAUAGUGUUUCUCUCCUUUCUUACAUCCGCACUAACAUAAAUCACAAUUGGGAAGCCCCAUAGUUGCUUUUGCCAGGUGUCUCGGGUUGAUCAAGAAAGAUUCCACACAAUGUGUCCAUUCGUGGAUGAGGCUUCUGACAAAACGUAGAAACCACCUUAGCUAUCAUAAUCAUACAAAAAAGGGGUUUACCCAACUAGUUUAUACAAG